rnacentral:rRNA from 1 species
UUUAUAAGAAGUUAUAUUCUGGAAGCGUCUGUAAGGUUACAACACAAGUCACUGAUAAUUCCGAUGAAUAGUUCAAGUUACUGACAUCUGCCCGGC